GGGGAUUUAGCUCAGUGGUAAAGCGCUUGCCUAGCAAGCACAAGGCCCUGGGUUCAGUCCCCAGCUCCG
rfam:Rattus norvegicus chromosome 10, whole genome shotgun sequence.